rnacentral:rRNA from 1 species
UACUAUAUCACUCGGGGGUAUAGUAGUGUUUAUUAGAUACAGAACCAAUACACCUUUUUUAAAGGGUGUAGAAAAAGGUGAUUCAUAGUAACCGAACGGAUCGCAUUAUAAUCAUUUCGAUGAUUGGCGAUAGAUCAUUCAAGUUUCUGACCUAUCAGCUUUCGACGGUAGUGUAUUGGACUACCGUGGCAGUGACGGGUAACGGGGAAUUAGGGUUCGAUUCCGGAGAGGGAGCCUGAGAAACGGCUACCACAUCUAAGGAAGGCAGCAGGCGCGCAAAUUACCCAAUCCUGACUCAGGGAGGUAGUGACAAGAAAUAACAACACUGGAAAUUCUAUUUCUAGUGAUUGGAAUGAUGGGAAUCCAAACCCCUUUCAGAGUAACAAUUGGAGGGCAAGUCUGGUGCCAGCAGCCGCGUUAAUUCCAGCUCCAAUAGCGUAUAUUAAAGUUGUUGCAGUUAAAAAGCUCGUAGUUGGAUAUCUGCUGGAAGCAAUCAGUCCGCCCUUUUAUUGAGGGUGUGUACUUGAUGAAUUCUGGCAUGAUUAUCUUCCCACUGAUAAUAUUAUUAUAUUAGGUUAAUUCCUAAUAUGGUAAUAAUUAUUUUUGGGAAGAGACGGCAGUUACUUUGAGAAAAUUAGAGUGUUUGAAGCAGGCUUGUUGCCUUGAAUACUGCAGCAUGGAAUAACAAUAUAGGAUUUCGGUUCUAUUUUGUUGGUUUCUAGGACUGAAAUAAUGAUUAAUAGGGACAGUUGGGGGCAUUCGUAUUUAACUGUCAGAGGUGAAAUCUG